UGCCCCUCCCCUGCUUGUGCUCUCUCUCUCUCUCUCUCUCUCUCUCUCUCUCUCUCUCUCUCAAAAAUGAAUAAAUAAACUUAAAAAGUUGAAGAGAAAACAUAGUUCAAAUGCAUUUUGUAAACUCUCAUCCCUACAUAAGUAUAGAGAAUUAUAAUAUCUAUUCUGUCAACACUAAAUUUACUUCUUCUAUCUUUCCCAUCAGGAAGUUAUAUUGUAAGCCGAUCCCAGAUUUAAGCAAGAAAUCAAACUUAGAUCAUCACUGUAUUUUCCCAAAGACAUUCUGAGCUUUUUCAAAUGUUCACAUUUUCCUUUUUGCUCUAAGUAUGAGUGACUUCUAGCAACUUCUCAGAACUGUGAGUUUGUUGACUAUGGGGCACCUGCCAGGAAUGAGGUUGGGCUCAGAAUAGGUGCCAUAUAGGAGAUAAUGCUUUGGUGUUAGCCAAGGAGACUAAGGACCCAAGCAGGUUUCCAUGCAGAACCACACGGGUAGGGGGACAAAGCAGAGGGUGGUUGGGGAGAGCAAGAUGGGGAGCGAUUCCUCAGGGAGGGGUGGGGUGCAUAUAUGGCUCCAUGGUGGACACACAGGGGGACAGCAGGAGACUGAGAUGGAAGGUCUUAUCAUCAGGAACAAAUAUAUGGUUUAUCCUAAGGGCAAAAGAACAUAUGUAAGGAUUUUAAAAAACACAUUUAAAGUGUUCUAAAGGAAUACUUGGGAUUUUUUUUUUUUGUAGACAAUAUGAAAAAAAUAGGUAAAAAAGGAGGGGGAAAUCAUUUAGUGUUCUACUACAUAAAGAAAACUCCUGUUAAGGUUCUACGCUGUUGAAAGAGUCAGUGUCUGGUUUUCUUCUGGUGGCAAUGUAGAUAAGAGACCAAAGGGGAAUUGAACAUAAAGCAGUUGUUGCUAACACUUCUUUUUUUGUGUGUUGGAAGUUUGAGCAACUGCAUAUUAUCUACAGAACUCACAAGUAGGACUUCCAAGGUAUCUAAGAGAUCAGUCCCUUUAACUCCUAUGGACCGUUCCGCCUCAAUCUCCCCAAUUAAUCACAACCAUCAAGCCAUGCCUCAGAAACAAUGUGGGCCUCUGGCCCUGCAUCUCCAGAUAUCAUUCCCAUCCCUCCCAAAGCAGCUGAACCAACAUCUUUUGAGGCGACCAAAUGGUGGAGACAUCACCGGCACAUCCAGUGUCCACAUUUGGAUUUCAGCCUUCUCCUGACAGAUUUCUUCAGAAUAUCCACAUAGGGGCCUUCAUUCACAUGACGGCCUGAAGGGCUGCAGGGUGACAUUCCCACCACCCACUUAGGAGAACAUCUGGAGGAAUGGGAUAAAGGGCAUUCUUGACACUUCUCGACGAUAAAGACCACCAAGGGGCUAGGGAGAGUGUCCAGCGUGGCUUGAGGCCAGUCCAGUUCCUGGGUGAGGAGAGACUCAGUCUUCCACAGUGAUGUGGGCAUACAUCUUACCUUCACAUGGGGAAAAUGAUUUUCACUCUCCCUACCUUGCAGAGUUGUAGUGAAGAUUGAGUGAACUUAGUGUUUUGGAACAAUACAAAAUGCUGUGAAUAUGGAGAAAACUGGCUCCUUUUUGCCCCACUGCUCAUGUGAUUGUUGAAAUGUCAUUUAUACCCUGUACAAGUAGCUCCAGAUAUAGAGGCACCUGCAUGGAUACAUGAUAAGAUAGAUAGAUGGAUAGAUAGAUAGAUAGAUAGAUAGAUAGAUUGAAAGGUAGGUUUAUAUAUGGCUUUAUGUAUAUAUUUUUUAUAUUCAUAUUUAUAUGUGAAAUUCUAACUUAGGGUAGGCAAAAUCACUCUUUUAAACCCCAAGCAUGCCUGUUCUUUUACCUAAACUAAUAGGCUCCAUCCCCACCUACCUUACACACUCUGUUGUUGAUCUCCUAGCUCUCUGGGUGGCAUUUCCAUUGGGGAAAAAAAAGUGAUGGAAGAAUCCCCUUGAAUUAGGACUCGAGAUAAACAACAACAAAGAGGCUGGAGGGACUUUAUCCAAACAUAUGACCCUUUGGGGCUCUGAAGCAGGCCAUUUGGUGACUGGCAUAUGCAACAUCCAUUCCAAAUCCCAUGGGUGACCUUAUUAGCAAGGGGGUGGAGUUGGGGGAGGUAUGUAACCAGUAUCAACCUCAAAACAAAAUAUUUGAUCAAAGUCUUUUGUAAUGAUCUGUUAUUUCCAGUCUUUUGACUCUGCCAGAUAACCUACUCUCUCCAGAUGGAGAAACACUUUUAGAUUGUGACACAUAUCAUUUUUAGUAUGCCCACAAUUGAGACCAAAUAUUUGUGUGAAUGAGGGUAGGGAUGAGUGUGGAGAGAACAUGCUGCAUCUCCUAAUGAAUUGAAUUCGACUAAUGUAUGACAGUGCCUGUGCUGGGUACUGGAGAUACCAAGAUAAAUGAUAUAUCUGGUGCAAACAUUCUAGUGAUGCUUCUUGUAUUGUUGGGAGGGUUUGGUUUUUGUUUUGUUGUUGUUGUUGUUGUUGUUGUUGUUGUUUUUGUUUUUUAGUAUAACUGAGCCUGCUAAACACUCUACAAAUUGCUACCCUGCCAAAAUUCUGCCCGGGCUCAGACUAUCUCGGUGAUGGUGUUUCUCUUGUAUGCCAAGCUUGUUUUAAGAAAUUCUUCAACAGGAAUUAGGCAGGUCAAGAACUGUGAAGAAACCCAUCAGGAAUGGCAGUGUGUAAUAAGGGACAAAGGAGUUGGGAUUUGAUCCAGAUCUUCUGUCUCCAAGCACAGUCUUCAUUCUGUGGCACACAGUAGCCAACUUCAGGACACCGGUUCUGAUUGCAUGACUACAGAGAUUCAAGAGGCUCAAAAUGAACCCUGCCACCGGUUUUCGAACCCUGACAUGCCCUUGAAAUGACCCAUCCAUGCAUUGCUGGAAUAGAAGACCUAUGUAGUCCUAGAGGGUGGUCACCGUGGACCGUGGACAAGUUACUCACACUCUGGACCUAUUUCUUCACCCAUAAAAGGUUUCCUCACAGGAUGUCAUGAGGAUUAACUAGUUAGUAUAUGUAAAGCACUCAGACUACUGGCUGACAUAUUGGAAGACUCGAAUGUGUGGGUGUGAGCCUGAACCUGAAAGCUGCGUGGUCAUUUCUAAGAAGGGCUAGUAAUUAAGACAAUGUUCUUGACCCUGCGGGGAUGAAAAAGAUCCGUGCAAUCCAGUCCCUGCUCUCAGGAAGUCUGUAAUCUACAUCUGGAUGAAGUGGAAACAGACAAGGAUGACAUAGUUGUACAGGAGUACAAGAGCCAAGAGCUGGAGGUCAUUCCAGGCCCUGUGAUUGAGCUCCCACCACUGGAAAUGUGAGCGGAAAUGAUGAGGCUGCUAAGAGUGGGCAAGCAUUCUCCAGACCUCCCCCUUCACCUCCUCACCCCUGGAAGCAGACACUUCUGAGAUGGCAGAGCGGACAGACAGAAGCAGCUGGGACCCUUGAGUCACUGUUGGGGAAGAGUUACCAAGGUGAGCUGCCUGACUCACGUGAAACUGUGGCAUGAGAGGCAGAUAAGUGGGUCAAGCACCUGAGAUUUCAGGACUGAUUUGCCAAGGAGAGCUUGAUGACAUCCUGACAUAAAAUAAAGAGCAAAGGCAAGAUAUUAGGGAAGACUUCAUAGGAGAAGCGACGUUUAUACAAAGCAUGAAAACUGGGUAAGAUUUCCACAUGCAUGGUGGGCAAGGACAGUUCAGGCAGAAGCCAGAGGAGGUCUAGACAGGGCAGGGCAGGAAGUAGUUCAAGUGCAAGAAGGAAGGGUUCCUGUGUUGGGAGAUCAGGUUCGAAAGGUUGUGCUAUUUGAGGAAGGCCUUGCAUUCUUCCCAGAAGUGUGAGCUUUAUUCCAGAGGGAACAGACAGCAACUGGACAUUGCAAGCCAUGAUGCAUCACAACCGGAAGAGUGCAAAGGAAAGUUUGGGCAGGGGUGACAGCGGAGUGGAGCCAGGGGUGAGACCAGUUUGGAGGUGACGACAACUAUCAAUAGUCCAGCCUGGAAGGAACGAAGGCCUAACCUAGAGCAAGGGUUAGAGCAACAUCUGGUAAACAGAAAUUGAUAGACUUGCUGGCUCCUAAUUAGAAGGUCUCACAAAGGGAGAAAGAAGUUGAAGAUGAUGCUGGGUCUCCCUUCUGCUGAUGCUGUUCCCAGAAACAGGGAAGCAAGGACAAGUAGCAAGCCUAGGAGGGAACAUGACAAAAGUAGGUUGGGACAUGUUAAAGCAGGAGAAGGGAGAGAAGAGGGUGAUAGAUGCUGAGAAAGAGAGGUCGCAGAAAUGGGGAGAGAAGCAGGAGAGCACGACAUUCCAGAAAUCCAAGGAGGAGAGAAUUAAAAGGAAGGAAGAGCGAACAAGAGUGUCACAGCCAGUGGAGACGUCUCAGCCAAUGGACCAAGGACUGAGAAGGGACCGUUGACCGCUGCGUUGAGGAAGUUCUUCAGAAGGUCGCUUCACAAGGUGGCUGAUACGGAAGGCAAAUGAAGAUGAUGAUCGGUGGUGAAAGUGUCAUGAAUGAUAGGAACACGGGAAUUCAUGUUCAAGGCAGAAGCAGCUGGCUAGCCUGCUCCUUUAACUCAACAGCUAGUUUCGAGCUCCAACUAUUUUUUAGGCCUGGUAUCUGAAGAAUGUAGUGAUGAGCAAGAUGUGCUUGCUGCCUCAAGGAGCUUGUAAUCCGUGGGGCAGAGAACAGACCAGGCGGUUUCAGUACCAUCAGGAGAUCAAGUCCCAGGUCAACAGUGACGGGCCACGUUGACAGGAGUUUCCCUGGAUGUGAUGAGAUGAGAAGGCGCUUGCCCUCCGUGAUCUUUCUCCCAAGAACAUAUAACCCUGCUGUAAUCACAAGGAAAACAUCAGACAAAUCUCGGCAGAGGAGCAUCCUGCAAAAUACCUGAUAGGCACACGACCAGACUGCAUUUCCCAGGCUCCCUUGCAGUUAGUUAUAGUCACGUGAUCAAUGCCAUCCAGACCUGGGAAAGGAAUGUAAAGGGAAAGCAAUGUGUGACACCUCCAGAAUUGCCAAUAAAAAUAAGACUUCACAUAAGCAAUUCUCCACCAUCUUUCCCCUUCUCAGCUAUCUCAGACUGAAAGGAUCCCGAAGACAACUUUGGAAACCCUGUGUUGAGAUAGGGGAUCUAUAAGGUGGAAGGAGCCUGGGCCCCUGAGUCUCUCUGAAAAAGAGCUGCUUGCCCAUUUGAAAUGCCCAUUUUGGACUUCCGGUGAAUGAGAAAUGAACUUCUAUUUUGUCUAGCAUUAUAUAUUUGAGGGGCCAUUUAUUAGCCAUUACUUGUUCACGAUUUUUGAACAAUUUAAGAAUCAUUUUGGGGGCGCCUGGGUGGCUCAGUCGGUUAAGUGUCCGACUUCAGCUCAGGUCACAAUCUCGCGGUCCGUGAGUUCGAGCCCCACGUGGGGCUCUGGGCUGACGGCUCAGAGCCU